rnacentral:rRNA from 1 species
AUAAUCCUGUAGUCGAAAAUGUUGUCUCUCUUGAGUGGAUCCUGAGUACGACGGAGCACGUGAAAUUCCGUCGGAAUCUGGGAGGACCAUCUCCUAAGGCUAAAUACUCUCUAGUGACCGAUAGUGAACCAGUACCGUGAGGGAAAGGUGAAAAGCACCCCGGAAGGGGAGUGAAAUAGAACCUGAAACCGUGUGCUUACAAGUAGUCAGAGCCCGUUAAUGGGUGAUGGCGUGCCUUUUGUAGAAUGAACCGGCGAGUUACGAUUUGAUGCAAGGUUAAGCAGUAAAUGUGGAGCCGUAGCGAAAGCGAGUCUGAAUAGGGCGUUUAGUAUUUGGUCGUAGACCCGAAACCAGGUGAUCUACCCUUGGUCAGGUUGAAGUUCAGGUAACACUGAAUGGAGGACCGAACCGACUUACGUUGAAAAGUGAGCGGAUGAACUGAGGGUAGCGGAGAAAUUCCAAUCGAACCUGGAGAUAGCUGGUUCUCUCCGAAAUAGCUUUAGGGCUAGCCUCAAGUGAUGAUUAUUGGAGGUAGAGCACUGUUUGGACGAGGGGCCCCUCUCGGGUUACCGAAUUCAGACAAACUCCGAAUGCCAAUUAAUUUAACUUGGGAGUCAGAACAUGGGUGAUAAGGUCCGUGUUCGAAAGGGAAACAGCCCAGACCACCAGCUAAGGUCCCAAAAUAUAUGUUAAGUGGAAAAGGAUGUGGCGUUGCCCAGACAACUAGGAUGUUGGCUUAGAAGCAGCCAUCAUUUAAAGAGUGCGUAAUAGCUCACUAGUCGAGUGACACUGCGCCGAAAAUGUACCGGGGCUAAACAUAUUACCGAAGCUGUGGAUUGUCCUUUGGACAAUGGUAGGAGAGCGUUCUAAGGGCGUUGAAGCAUGAUCGUAAGGACAUGUGGAGCGCUUAGAAGUGAGAAUGCCGGUGUGAGUAGCGAAAGACGGGUGAGAAUCCCGUCCACCGAUUGACUAAGGUUUCCAGAGGAAGGCUCGUCCGCUCUGGGUUAGUCGGGUCCUAAGCUGAGGCCGACAGGCGUAGGCGAUGGAUAACAGGUUGAUAUUCCUGUACCACCUAUAAUCGUUUUAAUCGAUGGGGGGACGCAGUAGGAUAGGCGAAGCGUGCGAUUGGAUUGCACGUCUAAGCAGUAAGGCUGAGUAUUAGGCAAAUCCGGUACUCGUUAAGGCUGAGCUGUGAUGGGGAGAAGACAUUGAGUCUUCGAGUCGUUGAUUUCACACUGCCGAGAAAAGCCUCUAGAUAGAAAAUAGGUGCCCGUACCGCAAACCGACACAGGUAGUCAAGAUGAGAAUUCUAAGGUGAGCGAGCGAACUCUCGUUAAGGAACUCGGCAAAAUGACCCCGUAACUUCGGGAGAAGGGGUGCUCUUUAGGGUUAACGCCCAGAAGAGCCGCAGUGAAUAGGCCCAAGCGACUGUUUAUCAAAAACACAGGUCUCUGCUAAACCGUAAGGUGAUGUAUAGGGGCUGACGCCUGCCCGGUGCUGGAAGGUUAAGAGGAGUGGUUAGCUUCUGCGAAGCUACGAAUCGAAGCCCCAGUAAACGGCGGCCGUAACUAUAACGGUCCUAAGGUAGCGAAAUUCCUUGUCGGGUAAGUUCCGACCCGCACGAAAGGCGUAACGAUUUGGGCACUGUCUCAACGAGAGACUCGGUGAAAUCAUAGUACCUGUGAAGAUGCAGGUUACCCGCGACAGGACGGAAAGACCCCGUGGAGCUUUACUGUAGCCUGAUAUUGAAAUUCGGCACAGCUUGUACAGGAUAGGUAGGAGCCUUUGAAACGUGAGCGCUAGCUUACGUGGAGGCGCUGGUGGGAUACUACCCUAGCUGUGUUGGCUUUCUAACCCGCACCACUUAUCGUGGUGGGAGACAGUGUCAGGCGGGCAGUUUGACUGGGGCGGUCGCCUCCUAAAAGGUAACGGAGGCGCUCAAAGGUUCCCUCAGAAUGGUUGGAAAUCAUUCAUAGAGUGUAAAGGCAUAAGGGAGCUUGACUGCGAGACCUACAAGUCGAGCAGGGUCGAAAGACGGACUUAGUGAUCCGGUGGUUCCGCAUGGAAGGGCCAUCGCUCAACGGAUAAAAGCUACCCCGGGGAUAACAGGCUUAUCUCCCCCAAGAGUUCACAUCGACGGGGAGGUUUGGCACCUCGAUGUCGGCUCAUCGCAUCCUGGGGCUGUAGUCGGUCCCAAGGGUUGGGCUGUUCGCCCAUUAAAGCGGUACGCGAGCUGGGUUCAGAACGUCGUGAGACAGUUCGGUCCCUAUCCGUCGUGGGCGUAGGAAAUUUGAGAGGAGCUGUCCUUAGUACGAGAGGACCGGGAUGGACAUACCUCUGGUGUACCAGUUGUCGUGCCAACGGCAUAGCUGGGUAGCUAUGUGUGGACGGGAUAAGUGCUGAAAGCAUCUAAGCAUGAAGCCCCC